UACGGAGGAUCCGAGUGUUAUCCGGAUUUAUUGGGUUUAAAGGGUGCGUAGGCGGUUUGAUAAGUUAGAGGUGAAAUGUCGGGGCUCAACCCCGAAACUGCCUCUAAUACUGUUGGACUAGAGAAUAGUUGCGGUAGGCGGAAUGUAUGGUGUAGCGGUGAAAUGCUUAGAGAUCAUACAGAACACCGAUUGCGAAGGCAGCUUACCAAACUAUAUCUGACGUUGAGGCACGAAAGCGUGGGUAGCAAACAGG
rnacentral:rRNA from 1 species